UGGUCUUGGGAUACUUAGGGUUAAACAUCCUUGGGUUUGAAUAGUACUAGGUUGGGUGACCUCUUAGGAAGACCAAAUUCAGGAGCUU
rnacentral:rRNA from 1 species